CUACGGGUGGCACCAGUCGAGAAUCUUCCGCAAUGGACGAAAGUCUGACGGAGCGACGCCGCGUGCGGGAUGAAGGUCUUCGGGUUGCAAACCGCUGUCAGUGGGGAGGAAAUGCAUCAGGGUUCUCCCUGGUGUUUGACCGAUCCGCAGAGGAAGCGCAGGCUAAGUUCGUGCCAGCAGCCGCGGUAACACGAACUGCGCGAACGUUAUUCGGAAUCACUGGGCUUAAAGAGUUCGUAGGCGGCCUUGCAAGUCGGGUGUGAAAUCCCUCGGCUCAACCGAGGAAUUGCGCCUGAUACUGUUGGGCUUGAGGGGGAUAGGGGUGAGCGGAACUGAUGGUGGAGCGGUGAAAUGCGUUGAUAUCAUCAGGAACACCGGUGGCGAAGGCGGCUCACUGGAUCUCUUCUGACGCUGAGGAACGAAAGCUAGGGGAGCGAACGGGAUUAGAUACCCUGGUAGUC
rnacentral:rRNA from 1 species